ensembl:snRNA U4 U4 spliceosomal RNA
AGCUUUGCACAGUGGCAGUAUCAUAGCCAAUGAGGUUCAUCUGAAGUGUGAUUAUUGCUAAUUGAAAGCUCUUCACAGAUUGAAGAGGCUUCUGUCUACCCCCAUUUGCUAAGAACUUUUAUCAGG